GUGCUGCAUUAAGAGUUGGGAAUUCCAUGCCAACCUGCUUUUCAAAUGGAAAGGUAAGGUGGACGGUUGAAAAACCGAUGUGGCUCACCAGAGCAAUCCAAACCCGCUUGAU
ncrna:Neisseria meningitidis Z2491 SAM-I/IV variant riboswitch